rnacentral:rRNA from 1 species
AUUGAACGCUGGCGGCAUGCUUUACACAUGCAAGUCGAACGGCAGCACGGGGGCAACCCUGGUGGCGAGUGGCGAACGGGUGAGUAAUAUAUCGGAACGUGCCCUAGAGUGGGGGACAACCAGUCGAAAGAUUGGCUAAUACCGCAUACGAUCUCUGGAUGAAAGUGGGGGACCGCAAGGCCUCACGCUCCUGGAGCGGCCGAUAGCUGAUUAGCUAGUUGGUGGGGUAAAGGCCUACCAAGGCGACGAUCAGUAGCUGGUCUGAGAGGACGAUCAGCCACACUGGGACUGAGACACGGCCCAGACUCCUACGGGAGGCAGCAGUGGGGAAUUUUGGACAAUGGGGGCAACCCUGAUCCAGCAAUGCCGCGUGAGUGAAGAAGGCCUUCGGGUUGUAAAGCUCUUUUGUCAGGGAAGAAACGGUGGAGGUUAAUACCCUCUGCUAAUGACGGUACCUGAAGAAUAAGCACCGGCUAACUACGUGCCAGCAGCCGCCGUAA